CGCCAUAGAUCUUGCUCUGUCGAGGGG
rnacentral:piRNA from 1 species